AAGCCAUGCAUGUCUAAGUAUAAGCAAUUAUACCGUGAAACUGCGAAUGGCUCAUUAAAUCAGUUAUCGUUUAUUUGAUAGUACCUUACUACUUGGAUAACCGUGGUAAUUCUAGAGCUAAUACAUGCUGAAAACCCUGACUUCGGAAAGGGUGUAUUUAUUAGAUAAAAAACCAAUGCCCUUUGGGCUCUUGGUGAUUCAUGAUAACUUAACGGAUCGCAUGGCCUUGCGCCGGCGACGGUUCAUUCAAAUUUCUGCCCUAUCAACUUUCGAUGGUAAGGUAUUGGCUUACCAUGGUUUCAACGGGUAACGGGGAAUUAGGGUUCGAUUCCGGAGAGGGAGCCUGAGAAACGGCUACCACAUCCAAGGAAGGCAGCAGGCGCGCAAAUUACCCAAUCCCGACACGGGGAGGUAGUGACAAUAAAUACUGAUACAGGGCUCUUUAGGGUCUUGUAAUCGGAAUGAGUACAAUUUAAACCUCUUAACGAGGAACAAUUGGAGGGCAAGUCUGGUGCCAGCAGCCGCGGUAAUUCCAGCUCCAAUAGCGUAUAUUAAAGUUGUUGCAGUUAAAAAGCUCGUAGUUGAAUCUUGGGCCUGGCUGGCCGGUCCGCCUCACCGCGUGUACUGGUCUGGCCGGGCCUUUCCUUCUGGAGAACCUCAUGCCCUUCAGUGGGUGUGUUGGGGAACCAGGACUUUUACUUUGAAAAAAUUAGAGUGUUCAAAGCAGGCCUUUGCUCGAAUACGUUAGCAUGGAAUAAUAGAAUAGGACGUGCGGUCCUAUUUUGUUGGUUUCUAGGACCGCCGUAAUGAUUAAUAGGGAUAGUCGGGGGCAUCAGUAUUCAAUUGUCAGAGGUGAAAUUCUUGGAUUUAUUGAAGACUAACUACUGCGAAAGCAUUUGCCAAGGAUGUUUUCAUUAAUCAGUGAACGAAAGUUAGGGGAUCGAAGACGAUCAGAUACCGUCGUAGUCUUAACCGUAAACUAUGCCGACUAGGGAUCGGGCGAUGUUUCUAUAUUGACUCGCUCGGCACCUUACGAGAAAUCAAAGUUUUUGGGUUCUGGGGGGAGUAUGGUCGCAAGGCUGAA
rnacentral:rRNA from 2 species